rnacentral:rRNA from 1 species
AAAUUGAAGAGUUUGAUCAUGGCUCAGAUUGAACGCUGGCGGCAGGCCUAACACAUGCAAGUCGAACGGUAACAGGAAGCAGCUUGCUGCUUCGCUGACGAGUGGCGGACGGGUGAGUAAUGUCUGGGAAACUGCCUGAUGGAGGGGGAUAACUACUGGAAACGGUGGCUAAUACCGCAUAACGUCGCAAGACCAAAGAGGGGGACCUUCGGGCCUCUUGCCAUCAGAUGUGCCCAGAUGGGAUUAGCUUGUUGGUGAGGUAACGGCUCACCAAGGCGACGAUCCCUAGCUGGUCUGAGAGGAUGACCAGCCACACUGGAACUGAGACACGGUCCAGACUCCUACGGGAGGCAGCAGUGGGGAAUAUUGCACAAUGGGCGCAAGCCUGAUGCAGCCAUGCCGCGUGUAUGAAGAAGGCCUUCGGGUUGUAAAGU